rnacentral:rRNA from 1 species
CCUACGGGAGGCAGCAGUGAGGAAUAUUGGUCAAUGGGCGCAAGCCUGCACCAGCCAAGUCGCGUGAGGGAUGACGGUCCUAUGGAUGGUAAACCUCUUUUGUCGGGGAGCAAGGCACGCCAAGUGUGGCGGGAAGGAGAGUACCCGAAGAAAAAGCUUCGGCUACACCGGUCACGGCAGCCGAGGUACUACGGGGGAUGCGAGCGUUAUCCGGAUUUUUUGGUUUUUAAGGGUGCAUAGGCGGAAGGUGUAAUCGACGGUCAAGUGUCGGUGCUCAACACCGGCCUGCCGUUGAAACUGGUCUUCGUGAGUGAGCGAGAGGUAUGCGGAAUGCGUGGUGUAGCGGUGAAAUGCAUAGAUAUCACGCAGAACUCCGAUUGCGAAGGCAGCAUACCGGCGCUCAACUGACGCUGAGGCACGAAAGCGUGGGGAUCGAACAGGAUUAGAUACCCCAGUAGUC